rfam:Brachypodium distachyon strain Bd21 chromosome 5, whole genome shotgun sequence.
CAGGGUACCUUUUGACCCUAUUUAGUUCAACCAAAUGAACUAAAAUUUUAAAAUGACAUAACUUUUUGAAAAACUAGUUCAUUUGUUUGAACUACGGAGGGUCAAAUGGUACCCUG